GAUAUUGUUUACUUCCGGUGGUAGAGGUCAGAUUAGAUUUUUCGGGUUUCGGUGUCGUUUUUUUUUCGUUCUCGUCGAGGUGUUUAUUGUUGUAAAAAAAUUGCUUAUUAAUAAUCGGUAAUCAUGUCAGACGAUGAUUUAAUCGGACCUGCUUUACCCCCGUCGUUCAGAAAAAGCAGCAAUGAUGAAUCUGAUGACGAGGAAGGAUUUGCAGGUCCUGCGCUGCCUCCCGGAUACAAACCGGAGUUGCUCUCCAGCUCGGAGGAUGACUUUGGCCAAGAGGAGGUGGAUGUGGUGAUCAAGAGACGAAACAAGACGAGCAGCAGACACGGUCACGGUAGCGGGACGACCAAGGAUGGACCCACCGCAGAAAAACAACACAGAGUGGAAGAGGCGGUGAGUAGAAGGCUUGAGGAUGAUGAUGAUGAUGAUGGUUUCUUCGGACCAGCUCUUCCUCCUGGGUUCUCAAAACCACAGGCUUCACCAGAGAGGCCAGGUGUAUUGGGCCCAGCCUUACCCCCGGGAUUUCACAGACUGGCAUCUGAUGAUGAUGAAGAUGAUGAUGGUGAGGAUGAUUUCCCUCGGCCAGCCCUGCCACCGGGCUACACAGCAGAACCCUCCAGCGGUGAUGAAGAGGAGGAGGAGGAGGAUGAAGAGGUGAUCGGACCCAUGCCUGCUCUUGGUGCCAUCCGGGACUCCGUGGCUCUGGACAUCGAACGCAGAGCUCAGAAGAUGAAGGACAGACUGACAGGAGCAGAUAAUGGUCCGGAGGACGUGGUGCGAGAGACCUGGAUGACAGAGCUUCCUCCAACGCUGCAGCACAUCGGGCUGGGGGCCAGAACCUUCAAGAAGAGGGCUGGACCGGAGAGCAAGGACCGAUCCCUCUGGACCGACACCCCUGCUGACCGAGAACGCAAACUCAGGGAACGACUGGAGGGAAAGGAGAGUGAAGAAACAGAACCGGUCCCUCAACUGUCUCACAAAGAGUUACAGAUGGCUGAGAAAGUGUCCAAAUACAACGAAACGAAGCGUGGCGAGUCUCUGAUCAGUCUCCACGAGAAGCAGAUGAAGAAGAGGAAACUGGACGAGGGCGCCAAGCCGGUGGAGAGACGAGCGUUUGACAGGGACCAGGACUUGCAAGUCAACAAGUUUGACGAGGCUCAGAAACAACGUCUGUUGAAGAAGUCCCAGGAGCUCAACACACGCUUCGGACACAGCAAGGAGAAAAUGUUCCUCUGAGACGAUCCACACACACACAGUAGCUAAUGGAUUGGGCAUUUUUUUGGUCACCUGAGCCAGUCAAUGAGUGACGGGAACGUUCCAGGUUGACUGUUUAUUGCAGUCCAACUACUCAGAUGAUCAGAACACAUUGUACUGAAUGUGAUCUGAGCAGAACAGGUCGUAUAACUUAUAACUUGUAUGUUUUUUGGUCACCUGAGCCAGUCAAUGAGUGACGGGAACGUUCCAGGUUGACUGUUUAUUGCAGUCCAACUACUCAGAUGAUCAGAACACAUUGUACUGAAUGUGAUCUGAGCAGAACAGGUCGUAUAACUUAUAACUUGUAUGUGUUUUUUAAUAAAAGUGUGAAUAUCAGUUUGAUAGUUACAUUUUAGUCGUCACUCUUAUCCAGAGCGACGUAGU